UCCUAAUCCAUGAAAACUCAGAGGUUUUCCAUUUCGGGGUGUAAAAAGGCUUCCUGCCAGUGGCAAGGAGCUACUUUAUCACUGGCUGCCACUCAUCUUUGAGAAGGACAGCCCAAAAGAGCUGGCUUAGGCUUGCCAGAAACUCUCCCAGGCCACAUGGAAAGCCAGGUGACCCUGUAGUACCUGCCCAGUGUGACUCAAGCCCCGAGUAGAAGAAAAGCAAGUUCCAACCUGCAGGCCAAGCCUGGCAUGCAGUGGGGCUGUGCGCAGACUGCCAUCCUUGGCACCAAUGGUGCCAAAUUUCUUGCCAAAUGGGCUUGAGUUUCAACAUGUUGGGAGAGCACAGGAGCCUGUGAGCAUAACUUUGCUGUCAACCCUGAAGCAGGGCCAAAGAAGAUCCUAGAGAGUCCAGCAGUACAGCAGAUGGAAGGGACAGGCAUGGAUGUUGGGCUCCUGGGGAUUCAGCCCUCUUUGGGCAAAGCAGAACACCAUCUAACACCAGAGGACUAGACUGCGGCCGGAGCAUUGCCCGAGCCAUCCCAGGGGAUGGAGAAAAGGACCCACACUGGGCUCAACCACCUGCCACAUUCUGGACCCUGUGCUGGCUCCUCUACCUGCAUGACUCCAGCAGGUUCCAGCAUUUCUACCUUUGAUGUUCCUGCUAACUGGGGCCCUCACUGAUGAGAUGCCGGGUGCAGCUUCCACUUGGGAACCUCUCUGACUCCACCAGGAUGAGAAACAAAGAGUUGGAGAGGAGAAUGGAGGCAGGUUUCCCCUCAGGCUCUGGCUGCUUCUCCUCCUGCAUCAGAAGAUCAAAGGGAGGGAAGAGUGAGGCCUCAGCGGGGGUGGGGGUGGGGGUGGGGGUGGGGUGGGGUGGGGUGGCCCUGCUCUGUGUGCUUCCCGGUAGGAGCCAAUUUCUUCCCUAAUUUAUUGACCACCCUGACUCUUUCCUCAUCUUUCUGAUUAAUAGUUUAGUUGGGGGUGCUAGGAAAUUUACCUCCAGUUGUUACCAUAGCAACCAGCUCUCUUGUACAGGAUCCCAUAGACAAUGCAUUUUGGGUCUUCGGCAGGAGCUGGGAUUUACGAGGAUCUCAGCAUGUACCAGGGCAGAAUGGGCAAGAUGAUGUUCCACUGAUAUGCUUAAGAAUUAUGCGUGGGGAUAGGAAAUGGUCUUGCCACACGGUAAAUUGGGAAGGAUGGUUUUAGUGCCUUUCCUUUCCUCUUGGCUUUGUCUCUCUCUUACAAGAGACCCCUCCCCCACAACAUUCUCUCUUAGGUCCUCGGAAAACUAGUUCCUCACAGGACAAAGGCAGGGCCAGUUUGGUGGAAGUCACGGGGAGGCUCAUUCCCUUUCAGCAAAAGGAAGAAUUUGUAGUGGGUAGAACCAGCUGAAGAUACAGUUGGCAGUCUUGGGAAGUAGUGAUCCCUGGAGGUGUGUGAACAGGGGCCUGUCAGGGGCUCUAGAAAAUAUUGUAUAGAGGACCGAGUGAGGGGUGGCAUGUGUGGAACCUCUGGGUCCUUUUCAUCCCUGGGAAGGGAGUUGCACUGUACCUGCUUGUGAGGCCAGCUCUCACCUCUCCCAACUAAGCAGAAUAUCAGAUUUGGACAUUUCAGUUCCCUGGGCCCCUGGGAUGUCUUUGGUGUCCUCAUAAACUCAAUACCCAGUACACUGCCUGGCCCUUGGGUGAAUGAAUAAAUUCCUUAGGCCUUUAUUAAGUGUGUGGACACAACUUACUAACUGUUUAUGUGUUCUUUUAUUAUGAUAAUAAAAAUAUACAUUUCAAAGCAUUGU
rnacentral:lncRNA from 10 species